AUCUAUGAUUAGUUGAGCCCUGUUUUUAUUUAUUGGGAACUAAAAUAAUUUAAGAAUAAACUCUACUUCUAAAAGGCUCAACUUUUGAAAUGCUAUCAAUAUCAAUAUAUAUAUAAAAGCAAAACUAAAUGUCAAAAAGAUUUUUCGGCGAAACAUCAUGCAUCUCAUUAUUAAAAAUGUACUAAAUGAUAGUAUUAUUGAAAAUAUGACCAUGGGAAAAAUUAAAUUAAAUCUAAAGUUAAUGAAUUUUGACGCCAAUCCUAAAGGUCAUUGAAAAAAAAACCGAUUUUAAUGAAAAAUCAUGAAUUUUGCGACAAUUAACUCCUUGACGAAUCAUGAACAUAUACAUGUUCUCAUGGCGUCAUCGCUGGCCCAUCCCAGGAUGCAGGUCCGUUCGUCGGUCAAGAAGCUGUGUGAAUUUUGUCGGACUGUGAAGCGACGUGGGCGUGUGCGUAUGUCGUGUGCACAGCUAAUCUGAAGCACAAGCAGCGACAAGGCGUAUCGACACCUUGCUUAUGAAGGACAAGUUUGAAAGAGACGACGUCGGCCCAGAGUGGUCGUCUCCCUGCCCUUAUAUCCGACAAGAACGAGUCGUUGACAGUGACACCGUGGUGGGGAGUUGGCCUCGUCUCACGUCUGUUCAAAGAGAGUGACAACAAGUAGAAUAUAUGCAUUAUUCUCUAAAUAACAAGAAAUAGUAAUUCUUGAGUUUUUGCAUAGGCUUCUUAAGACUCUGUUUGAUCCUAUUUUGCAGCUUAUAUGUGAUGAAGAAAAGCAAACCAAA